CUCCUUUUCGGUUGGGUCUUUCUCUGCUUUGGGGAUCAAGGUGAUGCUUGCUCCCAGGAAUGAAUUUGGGAGUAUUGCUUCCCUUUCAAUUUCAUUGAAGAGUUUAAACAGUAGUGGCAGCUGUUCCUCUCUAAAUGUAUUGUAGAAUUCAGCAGUGAAGCCAUCAGGACCCAGGCUUUUCUUAGUUGAUAAGCUUUUAAUUAGGUUUUCAAUUUCACUGGUUGAUAUUGGGUUGUUCAGAAUUUUUAGGUCUUCUUCAUUCAACUUUGGUAAUUCAUAUGUGUCUAAGAAUCUGUCCAUUUCUUCUGUGUUGUCCAUCUUAUUGGCGUAUAGGUUCUGGAAGUAGGUUUUGAUGAUCCUCUGGAUUUCUGCUGGGUCUGUUGUAAUUUCACCCUUUUCAUUCCUAAUUGCAGGGAUUUGGGCCUUUUCUUUCCUUUUUCUGAUAAGGUUGGCUAAGGGUUUGUCAAUUUUGUUGAUUCUUUUGAAGAACCAACUCUUGGGUUCAUUGAUUUUUUGUAUCAUUCUCUUAGUCUCCAUUGCAUUGAUUUCUCCUCUGAUCUUUAUAAUUUCCUCCCUUGUAUGAGCUCUGGGGUUGUCCUGCUCUUCUUUUUCUAGAAGCUUGAAGUUCAGCAUCAGGUUGUUUAAUUGGGCUCAUUCUGUUUUCCUAAUAUGCGUAUUCACUGCUAUGAAUUUCCCUCGUAAGACUGCUUUCAUUGUGUCACUUAGAUUCCGAUAUGUUGUAUUGUCAUUGUCAUUUAAUUGAAGGAACUGUCUGAUUUCUUCUUUAAUUUCCUCUGGGACCCAUUGGUUAUUCAGAAGUGUGUUGUUCAAUUUCUACAUGUUUAUGAAAUUCUUUGACUUUCUUUUGCUAUGAAUCUCCAAUUUCAUCGCAUUAUGGUCUGAUAAUAUACAGGGGAUAACUUCAACUCCUUUGCACUUACUUAAACAUGUUCUAUGUGUGAGUAUGUGGUCUAUUUUGGAGAAUGACCCAUGUGCAGCUGAGAAGAAUGUGUAUUCUGAUUUUGUGGGGUCGAAGACUCUGUAAACAUCUGUUAAGUUCAUUUGUUCAAGAGUUCGAUUGAGUUCUAGUAUUUCAUUACUUAUUUUUUGUCUAAUUGUUCUAUAUAUUUGUGACAGUGGGGUGUUGAGGUCCUCCACUACAAUUGUAUUAGUGCAUAUAUAACUUUUCAUGUCCAUUAGUAUUUGUUUUAUAUAGUUGGGCACACUAGUGUUUGGUGUAUAGAUAUUUAUGAUUGUCAUCUCUUCCUCUUCGAUUGUUCCCUUUACAAGGAUGUAGUGUCCUUCUUCGUCUCUCUUAAUCAGUGUUGGUUUGAAAUCUACUUGAUCUACCAAGAGGAUAGCUACUCCUGCUUUUCUUUGAGUUCCUGCCACAUGGAGUAUUGUUUUCCACCCUUUAACUUUCAGUCUAUGAGUUUCCUUUUGAAUUGUGUUUCUUGUAUUCAGCAUAUUGUUGGAUUUUGCUUCUUGACCCAUUCUGCCAGUCUAUUUCUUUUGAUUGGUGAAUUGAGACCAUUAACAUCGAUGGUUAUAACUGAAACAUAUUGACUUGUCAUUGCCAUGACUUUUUCUUUUUAUUGGGUUCUCCCCCUUUACAUUUAAUUUCUUGUCAUGCCAGAUGAGUUC
ensembl:lncRNA